CAAGUGCCCCUGGUGCAGAUCUUGGUGGUAGUAGAAAAUAUUCAAAUGAGAACUUUGAAGAGUGAAGUGGGGAAAUGUUCCAUGUGAACAUCACUUGGACAUGGGUUAAUCGAUCCUAAGAGAUGGGGAAUCCUUGUAUCAAGGGUGCAAUCUGCAUGAACGUUGAAAGAGAAUUGGGUUAAUAUUCCCGAACCGGGACAUGGUGGUGGACGACAAUGUUAGGAAAUAUGGAGAUGUCAUCGGGGGCCUGGGAAGAGUUAUCUUUUCUUUUUAACAACUUUCCCACCCUGAAAUUGGUUCAACCAGAGAUAGGGUCCAACAUAUGAAAGAGAACCGCACGUCUUGCGGUGUUUGGUGCCUCCUUAGCAGCCUUCGAAAAUAUGGAGAACCAAGUACUAUCCAUGCCUGAUCGUACUCAUAUCUACCUCCCUAGAUUUUUCAAUGUCCACUAGGU
rfam:Picea glauca, whole genome shotgun sequence.